rnacentral:lncRNA from 1 species
GCUGUGGCAAUGCUCUGGUCUUUGUGGAGAGAGGAGCCUGGUGUCAGCAAAGGCAGCAGGUAAUUUCCACAUCAUCAGUCUUAAAGAAAAAGGUUAUAGGAACAGGAGGAAUUUUGAAAUUGCCUGGUGGACUAGAAAUGAAGCAAAACACAGAAAAAUCUGAGAUGAAAGAUGGAGAGUGCUUAAGGGUUUCUAGUACUGGCUUCCAUGCCCAGCUGCAUCACUGCCCCUUGAGCUUCCUGUGACAUCCCAACAAACUUGCGCUUAAAGCUCCCGCUGUGCUUUAAUUCACUCCAGUUGAUGUGGUGAACAGAAAUGAGUCCAAAUGACACUAGUCCCACCCCACAACUUUCGCAACUUUACUGCUAAAAAUUAACUCAAGUGCCUUUUGGCAAAUGGAAUACACACUGCUGAUUCUGAUAUUGUAAUCUUUAGUGACCUAUGACAUGGUUCCAUCACCGAGCUGAGGAGCUACAUCCAUUUUUUGGUUGUUGUUGGAUACCAGAAAAGUCUCAUACAUCCUCCUUACAAUUUUUUAAAUUCCAGGUGAAACAGCUAUUACUGUUUACUUGUGAGAUUGGUUCUUCCAUGUGUUACUAGAAAAUAACUUUAAAAUUCCACUUU